AUUUCGUAAUGUAUUUAGUGGAAAAGUAUUUUUAAAUAACGGUAUUAUUUGAUUUACGCUUUCAUAAGAUUAAUUAAGAGAUUAAAAACGAUCUUCUCGAGAAAUUAUUGAACAAACGUAUCUUUUUCCUAGAUCUUCGUAUUUACUUCGGUGUUAUGUAUGAUACUUUGUAGAAAAAGGUUAUAUAGUGCCAUUUAAUAAGAAGAAGAAGUUAUUAGCAAGGUUAGGAUUGGAAGUUCAUUCAAUUCAUUAACGACACACUUCUACAUCUUCUACAUCUUUAAGUUUCUAAAAAAUGAAACUAGUGAAGUCUGAUCAAGUGUAUUCAAAUAAGACAGAAAAUUUUAUAAGCCAUGAGCAAUAUUUUAAAUCAGAUAAGUACAAGGACAAUGGAAAGAAUGGAAACAAGGCUUUGAUGGAGGAAAGGAAACCUGCUUGAGAGAUUGUUUGUCGAUGGAAAGAUUAUUGAGGAUUGUUUUCCAAACAGUAUCCUUGACGAACUAUUAGAAUCUCAUGAUCAAGUCAUACGAUACAAUAAAUGUAAUUUAAAUGUUAUCAAAAAAGCUGCGUGACAACCUUCUUCUAUAUAGUAUCAAUGGACGACAAGCUGCUUCCAAACUUUUCUUCAAGCGAUUGGUGUAAAUAUAUAAUAGUUGAAGCAGAGCUUUAUAUGUAAGAAUUCUUUACCUGAGCCUGUUACAUGGACUGUAAGGCCGCUUUACAAAGUUUUUGUAAAGUAAAUUUUUAUUUAAACUAUUCUUUACUCACAAUUCUAGAAAUCUUUUUUAUCAUAUGAUCCGUUUUAUCAGGACUAUUUAAAUUUAUCUUAUUUUUUCUAUAUUUCAUUUAUAACUUUUUUUGAUACUGUCUCUAAAAUCAUAGAGAUAUAUCAUAAAAUAAAUACGAAAAUAUUUAAAAAGAAGAAAUUAGAGAGAAGAAAGAUUUUAUUUCAACUCAUAGUAUACGUACUUCAAUGAAAAUGGAAGAGUAAAUUUAUAAAGUAUAUAUAAGUAACAUACGUUAGUUUCAUUAAGUUUGAUGCAAUAAUUCUGUAGAAAGUUGAUCAUGAAGUUGGCGAAUUUAGUAUUAAUGGGAUAAGACAUUUGUAGUAAAUCUCAUUUUCAGUGUCAUAUUGUAUCGUUUUCUAUCUCAUACUGCAUUUAUUUUUUACAUAUUUGGAAUUCGGAAGUGUGUGUAUUUAUUAUUUAUAAUUUCCAAUGAUUUCGAAUCAUAAUAGACCGAGAUUGUAAUUAUAAUAAAUUGCAGUGUUUGAAUUGUAUCUUUUUGGAUAGUUUUCUAUAAUAAACUUGUUAAUAUGAUUGAUAAAGCAAUUUGAAAAUGUUAUUUAGAAAUAUAUUAUUUUAUUUAUAUAACUCAUAUAAUUAGUCUAAUACUAGAUGCGGAUUAAAAAAUUUAAUUUUUUUUUCCGCAUGUAAUAUUUCUGUUCUUCUAAAAAUUAAUAGUAGAAAAAGAGGAAACAUCAAUAUCAGUGAGUGCAAUAAAGAAAUAGAGAAUGUCUCUAUAUUUAUGUUUACAUUUACAGAUUGAUUUGGAGAAGUAGAUUUGAUUGACGGAGAUGACGUUGAAGAGAGACAAAAGUUAUUUGAGAACUUCAACAGUCUCAUACUCAUUCAGGAGUUUUAUUAUGGUGAAAGUAUAUUGAUCAUCGAACAGGAUUUAUUGCAAAAUUAUUGAUCGAGAAAUCAUUGAGGACAGGCCCUAAUAUGAAUUGUACUUAUCUUUUGAUACGUCCAAAAGAAGGGAAGAAUGCUUUAACACAGUGAACUGAUUGAAAAUUUAAAUAUGUGGCAUUAUGGAUAGAACGUGUUAAUAAUGACGAAUGGAUUACAUGAUGCAAUCAAUAAUUGGUAGUUCCUGUGUUAGAAUUGAGAACACUCAAUAAUACUGUCAACAAAUAAAAGACAGGAGACUUUCAGCGAUAUCCUUUAUCUGUUAUUGUCGAUAUGACUUCAUCUGGAACUGAAGAAUUAUCCG